AUACGGAGGGUGCAAGCGUUAAUCGGAAUUACUGGGCGUAAAGAGUACGUAGGUGGUUUAUUAAGUCAGAUGUGAAAGCCCCGGGCUUAACCUGGGAACUGCAUUUGAUACUGGCAAACUAGAGUAUGGUAGAGGCGGGUAGAAUUCCUAGUGUAGCGGUGAAAUGCGUAGAUAUUAGGAGGAAUACCAGUGGCGAAGGCGGCCCGCUGGACCAAUACUGACACUGAGGUACGAAAGCGUGGGUAGCGAACAGGAUUAGAUACCCCAGUAGUCC
rnacentral:rRNA from 1 species